UACAGGGGGGGCAAGCGUUGUUCGGAAUUACUGGGCGUAAAGGGUUCGUAGGUGGCCACUUAAGUCAGACGUGAAAUCCCUCAGCUUAACUGGGGAACUGCGUCUGAUACUGCGUGGCUUGAGUGCAGGAGAGGAAUGCGGAAUUCCAGGUGUAGCGGUGAAAUGCGUAGAUAUCGGGAGGAACACCAGUGGCGAAGGCGACUACCUGGCCUGUUUCUUGACGCUGAGGCGCGAAAGCUAGGGGAGCAAACGGG
rnacentral:rRNA from 1 species